rnacentral:rRNA from 1 species
AGUGAACGCUGGCGGCGUGCCUAAUACAUGCAAGUCGAACGGAAUUUAAAAGAGCUUGCUCUUUUAAAUUUAGUGGCGCACGGGUGAGUAAUAUAUAGCUAAUCUGCCCCUUGCUGGAGGACAACAGUUAGAAAUGACUGCUAAUACUCCAUACUCCUUUUUACCAUAAGAUAAAUCGGGAAAGAAUUUCGGCAAGGGAUGAGACUAUAUCGUAUCAGCUAGUCGGUGGGGUAACGGCCUACCGAGGCUAUGACGCGUAACUGGUCUGAGAGGAUGAUCAGUCACAUUGGAACUGAGACACGGUCCAAACUCCUACGGGAGGCAGCAGUAGGGAAUAUUGCGCAAUGGGGGAAACCCUGACGCAGCAACGCCGCGUGGAGGAUGACACUUUUCGGAGCGUAAACU